GACGAACGCUGGCGGCGUGCCUAAUACAUGCAAGUCGAACGCUUCUUUCCUCCCGAGUGCUUGCACUCAAUUGGAAAGAGGAGUGGCGGACGGGUGAGUAACACGUGGGUAACCUACCCAUCAGAGGGGGAUAACACUUGGAAACAGGUGCUAAUACCGCAUAACAGUUUAUGCCGCAUGGCAUAAGAGUGAAAGGCGCUUUCGGGUGUCGCUGAUGGAUGGACCCGCGGUGCAUUAGCUAGUUGGUGAGGUAACGGCUCACCAAGGCCACGAUGCAUAGCCGACCUGAGAGGGUGAUCGGCCACACUGGGACUGAGACACGGCCCAGACUCCUACGGGAGGCAGCAGUAGGGAAUCUUCGGCAAUGGACGAAAGUCUGACCGAGCAACGCCGCGUGAGUGAAGAAGGUUUUCGGAUCGUAAAACUCUGUUGUUAGAGAAGAACAAGGACGUUAGUAACUGAACGUCCCCUGACGGUAUCUAACCAGAAAGCCACGACUAACUACGUG
rnacentral:rRNA from 1 species